CCUGCAACCUGGAGAACAGGCCCAGUGGCCCGCCAGUGUAGUAGACAGAUCACCCCUAUUGGAGGAGGGGCCCAGCCGCCGCCUGCAAGGUAGGCAGACCGCGCGCCCCGGAGAAGGGGCCCAGCGGCCCGCUGGCGUGGUAGACACAUCACCCCUAUUGGAGGAAGGGCCCAUCCGCCACCCGCACCUGCACGAAAGGCAGACCUGUGACCUGGAGAACAGGCCCAGCGGGCCGCUGGCGUGGUAGAC
rnacentral:lncRNA from 1 species